rnacentral:rRNA from 1 species
GCUUACCAUGCAGUCAUGGGGGACUGCAGGGAGGAAGGCGAACGGGUGCGUAUCCGUGAGCGAGAGAAAUGAGUGCGGGGGAUAGCCGGCCCAACGGCCGGGUAAUACCUUAUCCGCUUUUUCGAGGGCAUCCUUGGGAAAGGAAACCUCCGGGGCACUCAGAGGGGCUCGCGGCCUAUCAGCUAGUUGGCGGGGUAAUGGCCCACCAAGGCGACGACGGGUAGCUGGUCUGAGAGGAUGGCCAGCCACAUUGGGACUGAGAGACGGCCCAGACUCCUACGGGAGGCAGCAGUGGG